AAGUCGUAACAAGGUUUCCGUAGGUGAACCUGCGGAAGGAUCAUUAACACGUAUCCAACGUUAAAACCCCCGUGAACCAAUGUCGUGCUCUCGUAGCCCAAGAGGAACAGCAAUCCCUGGUAAAGCAAGGUGUUGCUGCACUAUUUGAUUCAGGGACCUCUGUUAAGAAAGGCUAGUUACGAAUGUUGCGCUAGUUUCAGAGGCUUGGCUUCCCGAAACAGUGAGUGUCUGACAGUGGCACUCGCUGCGUAAGGAUAACGCUUUACGGUCGCUAGAGGUCGAUCACCGACCGGCGGGCAAGUCUCAGGGCUCACGCCCCUUAAUAACCCCACAGUUUCCACUUAGGCUCGCGAUAACACGCAGGCCCAAAAACCGAACAACUAUUAACAAUGGAUCUCUUGGCUCUC
rnacentral:misc_RNA from 1 species